AUUGAACGCUGGCGGCAGGCUUAACACAUGCAAGUCGAGCGAGCGGCGGACGGGUGAGUUAUGUCUGGGAAACUGCCUGAUAGCGGGGGAUAACUACUGGAAACGGUAGCUAAUACCGCAUACCAUCAGAUGUGCCCAGAUGGGAUUUGCUAGUAGGUGGGGAAAUGGCUCACCUAGGCGACGAUCCCUAGCUGGUCUGAGAGGAUGACCCGCCACACUGGAACGGAGUGACGUUCCAGACUCCUACGGGAGGCAGUAGUGGGGAAUAUUGCACAAUGGGCGCAAGCCUGAUGCAGCCAUGCCGCGUGUGUGAAGAAGGCCUUCGGGUUGUAAAGCACUUUCAGCGAGGAGGCGUUACUGGCAGAAGAAGCACCGGCUAACUCCGUGCCAGCAGCCGCGGUAAUAC
rnacentral:rRNA from 1 species